CGCGGCCUAUCAGCUUGUUGGUGAGGUAAUGGCUCACCAAGGCGUCGACGGGUAGCCGGCCUGGGAGGGUGACCGGCCACACUGGGACUGAGACACGGCCCAGACUCCUACGGGAGGCAGCAGUGGGGAAUAUUGCACAAUGGGCGAAAGCCUGAUGCAGCAACGCCGCGUGAGGGAUGACGGCCUUCGGGUUGUAAACCUCUUUUAGCAGGGAAGAAGCGAGAGUGACGGUACCUGCAGAAAAAGCGCCGGCUAACUACGUGCCAGCAGCCGCGGUAAUACGUAGGGCGCAAGCGUUAUCCGGAAUUAUUGGGCGUAAAGAGCUCGUAGGCGGUUUGUCGCGUCUGCUGUGAAAUCCCGAGGCUCAACCUCGGGCCUGCAGUGGGUACGGGCAGACUAGAGUGCGGUAGGGGAGAUUGGAAUUCCUGGUGUAGCGGUGGAAUGCGCAGAUAUCAGGAGGAACACCGAUGGCGAAGGCAGAUCUCUGGGCCGUAACUGACGCUGAGGAGCGAAAGGGUGGGGAGCAAACAGGCUUAGAUACCCUGGUAGUCCACCCCGUAAACGUUGGGAACUAGUUGUGGGGUCCAUUCCACGGAUUCCGUGACGCAGCUAACGCAUUAAGUUCCCCGCCUGGGGAGUACGG
rnacentral:rRNA from 1 species